GCGUGUUCAUUCAGUGAGCACCUAGAAGAAAAAAGUGAAUUGCAUGAAUAAUUCUCUCGUUAAUACGAUUUAUUGUGGUUGUAAUGGUGGGUUUAGUAAAGAAGCAGAGAUAGUCUCCUACUCUCCAAAAUGACCUGGCACUUCGACAGUUUAAACUACCUACUAAAGUUGGUAGAAACUGUAUGCAUCCAUCACUGCUGCUUCUGUUGUGACCCUGGGGCCCUUCUUUUAGAUAAGGAGUUAUAGCAAUAUGUUAUAUAGCAUUGGAUUUUGACCAUUGGUAUAUAAAUUCUGAUCAUGUCAAGGUAUCUUGUAGUGUUAAUACACUGGUAAGUAAUAAUUUUAAUACGUUUAAGAGAUUACAGUGUACAUUGUGUUAUUUGGUUCCUUAUGCAGUAGGUAUAGAUCACUAUCUUCAUUUUUCUGAUGAAGGCUCACUGGCUUAGAGAAGUAAAAUGCCUUACCCGAGGUCACACAGUUAAUCAUGGUGGCAGGAGGCAUAGAACUGGCCUCAUGUCUAAUUUAUAUUUAUUUUAUAGCUAUUUAUAGUUACCCAAACUCUAUUAAAGGUGACAUUGUCUUAAGAAAAAGUACUUAUGCAAAAGUAGAGUUAAUAUCUAGAUUGUGUAAGUACUUAAAGUCACUGAUGUUAUAAAUUAAGAAAGUAGGACAAUUAUUUACAAUUGCUUUGGUUUAUAUAUUUGAAAGAUUCAGAAUCCUUGUAUCAGGUUGUUUUCAUAAUAAACAAGAAGCAUAUAAAAAUUUUCAAGACCUUUUUCUCAAUUGAUGUGUUUUAAUAAGUUUUAUAACAUUCAGUUUUUAGUAUAGUCUACAUUCUAAAAUUAGUCUAUAUAGUCUGUAUACUAAAAUGAGAAUGUUUUUGAAAUAUAUUUUAAGACGAAAUAUGUAUUUAUGAUAAAUGUAUUGGCAAUUCUUAAAAAAGUGAAUGAAGUAAUAAAUCUAUCAUUUAGUAAGUAAUUUGUGUAAAGACCCCUAAAAUCAUUAAUAGCAUAACUUGAAAUCUAAAAGAGCUUAUUUAAAAUAUAAGCUUAUUAGCAAUAAUAGAUUUUGUAAUGAAAUAUUUACAUUCUUACCCAUUAAUAUCUGAUUAAUUAGAAUAUUUUAGACAUGUACCAGUUUUUGCCAGGUUAUACUGCAGUGACAAUAAACCUCUAAAUUUCAGUGACAACAAUAUAAGUUGAUUUCUUGUUCAUGUUACAUGUCUAUUGCAGGUUGAUAUGUAACACAGUCUCACAUUAUUGUAACACAACCUUACAUUAUUGUUCUUUCUUGUAUGGUCAAAGGGAAAGAAAUACCGUGGUGGAACUACAAGAUGGCAUUAAGGUUCCUGCUUGGCAGUGCCACAAGUCACUGGGCUUAUUUUGGACUGGCCAAAGCAAGUCAUGAGAAUCAGUAAAAUAUUAGCUGUUUCCUUUCCUCAGAAAAGGUUUAUGGAAGAUCAUAAAUAUAAAAAUAAUAGCUAAAAUUUAUUGGAACACCUUCUACAUGCCAGGGGCUUUACUAAGCAUUUACAGAUGGGAACACUUAAUUCUCACAGCAUCCCCUGAGGUAUUGGCACCUCUCAUCACUUCCUCCCCUCAUAUCUUUCAAAUGUAUUAAGUGUUGUGUUGCAAAGGGCUUCGCCCUCUGCUGAGACAUUUUCCCAGAUAAUCAGCAGCAAAAUCUUCAAAAAUUUGGCCUCCAUCUUGUGGAAGCGGCUAUCCAUGUGCCAUAUUCUACUGAGGAUGGAGUCUUCUUAGCCAGCAGGGAGGUAAAUGAGCCAUUCUCCAAACUCGUUCUUUCUGACUGUGGUACCACCUAUUUCAGUUCAGGUCCUCCAAGAGGCAGACCUCAAGACAGUAUUAUAUGUGCAAGAGAUUUAUUGGGGAAGAAACCCCUGAACAAUUUAGGGGAGAUAAAGGAGGGGGAGAAAGUAUGAGAGGUAGGGAGAAACCUUAGACCAUAAUGCAGCUGUGACACCUGUAAAAAAUAGAAAGGAGUAAGGAGGAUGAGAGAGGAAAAGCUGUAGACUAAAGUUCUGAGGGAGUUCUGUCCAGGCUGAUGGGAAGUCUUAGAGCAAAGAUUGCCUAUUAGAAGAGUCCUCCAGUUGCUAUGAGCCGAGAUUGCACCACUGCACUCCAGCCUGGU